UGGGUAGGUUCCUAAUCAAUUAUUUUUUUAAAUAAUUUUUAGCAAUUAGAUUUUGCCCCAGGCCUCUCUUCAGCGGGUGUGUGGUGCCUCCACUAAAAAUUUAGAUUAGAUCCAACCAUUAACAUGACUACACCAAGUGCAUCCAACAAAUGAACGUCCAAGCCCGAGUAUUGCUCGACCAACCUGAGUAUUGAUUUGA
rnacentral:lncRNA from 1 species